rnacentral:rRNA from 2 species
GGGUUGUGAGGUUAAGCGACUAAGCGUACACGGUGGAUGCCCUGGCAGUCAGAGGCGAUGAAGGGCGUGCUAAUCUGCGAUAAGCGCCGGUAAGGUGAUAUGAACCGUUAUAACCGGCGAUGCCCGAAUGGGGAAACCCAGUGUGACUCGUCACACUAUCAUUAACUGAAUCCAUAGGUUAAUGAGGCGAACCGGGGGAACUGAAACAUCUAAGUACCCCGAGGAAAAGAAAUCAACCGAGAUUCCCCCAGUAGCGGCGAGCGAACGGGGAGGAGCCCAGAGCCUGAAUCAGCAUGUGUGUUAGUGGAAGCGUCUGGAAAGGCGCGCGAUACAGGGUGACAGCCCCGUACACAAAAGCGCAUGUGCUGUGAGCUCGAUGAGUAGGGCGGGACACGUGGUAUCCUGUCUGAAUAUGGGGGGACCAUCCUCCAAGGCUAAAUACUCCUGACUGACCGAUAGUGAACCAGUACCGUGAGGGAAAGGCGAAAAGAACCCCGGCGAGGGGAGUGAAAAAGAACCUGAAACCGUGUACGUACAAGCAGUGGGAGCACAGGUUUACCUGUGUGACUGCGUACCUUUUGUAUAAUGGGUCAGCGACUUAUAUUCUGUAGCAAGGUUAACCGUAUAGGGGAGCCGUAGGGAAACCGAGUCUUAACCGGGCGUUAAGUUGCAGGGUAUAGACCCGAAACCCGGUGAUCUAGCCAUGGGCAGGUUGAAGGUUGGGUAACACUAACUGGAGGACCGAACCGACUAAUGUUGAAAAAUUAGCGGAUGACCUGUGGCUGGGGGUGAAAGGCCAAUCAAACCGGGAGAUAGCUGGUUCUCCCCGAAAGCUAUUUAGGUAGCGCCUCGUGAAUUCAUCUCCGGGGGUAGAGCACUGUUUCGGCUAGGGGGCCAUCCCGGCUUACCAACCCGAUGCAAACUGCGAAUACCGGAGAAUGUUAUCACGGGAGACACACGGCGGGUGCUAACGUCCGUCGUGAAGAGGGAAACAACCCAGACCGCCAGCUAAGGUCCCAAAGUCAUGGUUAAGUGGGAAACGAUGUGGGAAGGCCCAGACAGCCAGGAUGUUGGCUUAGAAGCAGCCAUCAUUUAAAGAAAGCGUAAUAGCUCACUGGUCGAGUCGGCCUGCGCGGAAGAUGUAACGGGGCUAAACCAUGCACCGAAGCUGCGGCAGCGACGCUUAUGCGUUGUUGGGUAGGGGAGCGUUCUGUAAGCCUGUGAAGGUGUGUCGUGAGGCAUGCUGGAGGUAUCAGAAGUGCGAAUGCUGACAUAAGUAACGAUAAAGCGGGUGAAAAGCCCGCUCGCCGGAAGACCAAGGGUUCCUGUCCAACGUUAAUCGGGGCAGGGUGAGUCGACCCCUAAGGCGAGGCCGAAAGGCGUAGUCGAUGGGAAACGGGUUAAUAUUCCUGUACUUGGUGUUACUGCGAAGGGGGGACGGAGAAGGCUAUGUUGGCCGGGCGACGGUUGUCCCGGUUUAAGCGUGUAGGUGUGUGUUCCAGGUAAAUCCGGUUCACUUUAACACUGAGGCGUGAUGACGAGGCACUACGGUGCUGAAGCAACAAAUGCCCUGCUUCCAGGAAAAGCCUCUAAGCAUCAGGUAACAUCAAAUCGUACCCCAAACCGACACAGGUGGUCAGGUAGAGAAUACCAAGGCGCUUGAGAGAACUCGGGUGAAGGAACUAGGCAAAAUGGUGCCGUAACUUCGGGAGAAGGCACGCUGAUAUGUAGGUGAAGUGAUUUACUCAUGGAGCUGAAAUCAGUCGAAGAUACCAGCUGGCUGCAACUGUUUAUUAAAAACACAGCACUGUGCAAACACGAAAGUGGACGUAUACGGUGUGACGCCUGCCCGGUGCCGGAAGGUUAAUUGAUGGGGUCAGCGCAAGCGAAGCUCCUGAUCGAAGCCCCGGUAAACGGCGGCCGUAACUAUAACGGUCCUAAGGUAGCGAAAUUCCUUGUCGGGUAAGUUCCGACCUGCACGAAUGGCGUAAUGAUGGCCAGGCUGUCUCCACCCGAGACUCAGUGAAAUUGAACUCGCUGUGAAGAUGCAGUGUACCCGCGGCAAGACGGAAAGACCCCGUGAACCUUUACUAUAGCUUGACACUGAACAUUGAGCCUUGAUGUGUAGGAUAGGUGGGAGGCUUUGAAGCGUGGACGCCAGUCUGCGUGGAGCCGACCUUGAAAUACCACCCUUUAAUGUUUGAUGUUCUAACGUGGACCCGUAAUCCGGGUUGCGGACAGUGUCUGGUGGGUAGUUUGACUGGGGCGGUCUCCUCCUAAAGAGUAACGGAGGAGCACGAAGGUUGGCUAAUCCUGGUCGGACAUCAGGAGGUUAGUGCAAUGGCAUAAGCCAGCUUGACUGCGAGCGUGACGGCGCGAGCAGGUGCGAAAGCAGGUCAUAGUGAUCCGGUGGUUCUGAAUGGAAGGGCCAUCGCUCAACGGAUAAAAGGUACUCCGGGGAUAACAGGCUGAUACCGCCCAAGAGUUCAUAUCGACGGCGGUGUUUGGCACCUCGAUGUCGGCUCAUCACAUCCUGGGGCUGAAGUAGGUCCCAAGGGUAUGGCUGUUCGCCAUUUAAAGUGGUACGCGAGCUGGGUUUAGAACGUCGUGAGACAGUUCGGUCCCUAUCUGCCGUGGGCGCUGGAGAACUGAGGGGGGCUGCUCCUAGUACGAGAGGACCGGAGUGGACGCAUCACUGGUGUUCGGGUUGUCAUGCCAAUGGCACUGCCCGGUAGCUAAAUGCGGAAGAGAUAAGUGCUGAAAGCAUCUAAGCACGAAACUUGCCCCGAGAUGAGUUCUCCCUGAGACUUAGAGUCUCCUGAAGGAACGUUGAAGACGACGACGUUGAUAGGCCGGGUGUGUAAGCGCAGCGAUGCGUUGAGCUAACCGGUACUAAUGAACCGUGAGGCUUAACCUUACAACGCCGAAG